rnacentral:rRNA from 1 species
UACGGAGGAUCCGAGCGUUAUCCGGAUUUAUUGGGUUUAAAGGGUGCGUAGGCGGGAGAUUAAGUCGGUGGUGAAAUUUUGCAGCUCAACUGUAAAAGUGCCUUCGAAACUGGUUUCCUUGAGUGUAGAUGAAGUAGGCGGAAUCUGUGGUGUAGCGGUGAAAUGCUUAGAUAUCACGAGGAACUCCGAUUGCGCAGGCAGCUUACUAAACUACUACUGACGCUCAUGCACGAAGGCGUGGGGAUCAAACAGGAUUAGAUACCCCUGUAGU